GAUGAACGCUGGCGGCGUGCCUAAUACAUGCAAGUCGAGCGAACGGACGAGAAGCUUGCUUCUCUGAUGUUAGCGGCGGACGGGUGAGUAAAACGUGGAUAACCUACCUAUAAGACUGGGAUAACUUCGGGAAACCGGAGCUAAUACCGGAUAAUAUUUUGAACCGAAUGGUUCAAAAGUGAAAGACGGUCUUGCUGUCACUUAUAGAUGGAUCCGCGCUGCAUUAGCUAGUUGGUAAGGUAACGGCUUACCAAGGCAACGAUGCAUAGCCGACCUGAGAGGGUGAUCGGCCACACUGGAACUGAGACACGGUCCAGACUCCUACGGGAGGCAGCAGUAGGGAAUCUUCCGCAAUGGGCGAAAGCCUGACGGAGCAACGCCGCGUGAGUGAUGAAGGUCUUCGGAUCGUAAAACUCUGUUAUUAGGGAAGAACAUAUGUGUAAGUAACUGUGCACAUCUUGACGGUACCUAAUCAGAAAGCCACGGCUAACUACGUG
rnacentral:rRNA from 1 species